GUGAUGAGGUAUCACUAAGAGUCUUGUUUUGCCUUAUUUAUCAUUUGAAGUGCUAAUGGUUGUUUUCCUGUUCAUCUUAGACCUAGUUUGGGAAUAUUUUAAACACAAACGUGUCCUUAAAAUUAAGACUGUCUGGGACACAUGUGGACUUGGCUUCCGGUCUGCGCUACAGGGGAGUGGGGCGUAGUGCAGCUGUAUUUUAAUAGCAUGAUGUGUUAGAAAGAUAGUUAGGGGGUAAGUGAGAAGGAACAUUUUAAUCUAAUCAUGAAAGUCCUUAAUCAGAGCCCUGCCUUCGGCAGGAGGUUAACAUUAGGGAGAUGGAACAGAACCACAAAUACAGGCUCCACCUCAUUAGAGAAGAAAAGCAGAGGCAAUGAUGUCACUGGCAAACUGUGGGAUGCAGGAUGAGAAAGCUCCAGAAGGCAAAGCUAGAGGGAAUACUGAGGAAAAGGUGUGCCUUCUGCCUGCCUUGUCUCUAAGUCCCAGUUCAAAGGUGUUCUGUGUCUGGACCAUUCUGACCAGGUCCAAGGAGAACUUGAGUUGUGUGUGUCUACAGGAGAGGCCAGAUGGAAUCCUGUAUUUGCUGACCACCAAGCAAGGGGCACCACGUGUCCUGUUCCCAGCUGAGCCAGGAAACUGCAUGACCCUGAAUGGCAGCAGUAAGUAUCUUCUGUCCUCUCAGAUCCUCCUCCUGUUCCACAUUCUUUUUUUUUUUUUUUUUUUUUUUUUCNUUCCACAUUCUUAA
rnacentral:lncRNA from 1 species